rnacentral:lncRNA from 1 species
CAAAAAUGAAAACAAAAGCAAAAACAAAACCAAAAAACAUUUGCCUGUGGAAUGACCUGGAAUUAAAAAACUUAAACAUUUUUGUCUAUUUUUAUUAUGUAUAUGGUCUGCGUGCACACACACACACACACACACACACACACACACACACACAGAGCGGAUUUCUGUCAUGUGGAAGUCAAAGGCCAGCUCUGUGACGUUGGUGCUCUUCAUCCAUCUUUCCGUAGGUUCUCGGGAUCCAACCCAGGUUGUCAGGCCCUGUGGCAAGCGCUUUGCUGGCUGAGCCCUCUUGCCAGACCAACUGUCAGGAAGUUUUAUCAACCAGCCACUCCCGGUUGUGUCGAGGAUUUAAC